GAUGGCGAUGCGUCCCAUUAGUUAGUUGGCGGGGUAACGGCCCACCAAGACAUCGAUGGGUAGGGGUUCUGAGAGGAAGGUCCCCCACAUUGGAACUGAGACACGGUCCAAACUCCUACGGGAGGCAGCAGUGAGGAAUAUUGGUCAAUGGACGAGAGUCUGAACCAGCCAAGUAGCGUGCAGGAUGACGGCCCUCCGGGUUGUAAACUGCUUUUAGUUGGGAAUAAAGUUCGGGACGUGUCCCGAUUUGUAUGUACCAUCAGAAAAAGGACCGGCUAAUUCCGUGCCAGCAGCCGCGGUAAUACGGAAGGUCCGGGCGUUAUCCGGAUUUAUUGGGUUUAAAGGGAGCGCAGGCGGGCUUUUAAGUCAGUUGUGAAAUACGGCGGCUCAACCGUCGGACUGCAGUUGAAACUGGAAGUCUUGAGUUCACACAGGGAUGCCGGAAUUCAUGGUGUAGCGGUGAAAUGCUCAGAUAUCAUGAAGAACUCCGAUCGCGAAGGCAGGCAUCCGGGGUGUUACUGACGCUGAGGCUCGAAAGUGCGGGUAUCAAACAGGAUUAGAUACCCUGGUAGUCCGCACAGUAAACGAUGAACACUCGCAGUUGGCGAUACAGUGUCAGCUGCUUAGCGAAAGCGUUAAGUGUUCCACCUGGGGAGUACGCCGGCAACGGUGAAACUCAAAGGAACUGACGGGGGCCCGCACAAGCGGAAGAACAUGUGGUUUAAUUCGAUGAUACGCGAGGAACCUUACCCGGGCUUGAACU
rnacentral:rRNA from 1 species